AACAACCCCAAUUUGAACAUGGUCUCUAAACGGAGUGAGAUGAAAACGUGUUAACACAAACGACGUGUUAACACAAACGACGUUACUAGUGUACUGCUUGCAAACCAAGCAGCUCGGGUCUCAAAACAGUAAACUCGAAUGCUUUUCAGUUAAAUUUCUUGGCUCUAUUUGAAUUAUUUUGGGUUUACACGAGUGCUUUUCGGCGCCGUUUUCAAACGGCGGCGUAGCCUUCAGAAAAAUUUAGAAAUAGUGGAUGUCCAAAGGGGAGGGGGUAAUUUUGGGCUUUGACAUCC